CACUUGAUCUGAAAUCAGAUGG
rnacentral:rRNA from 1 species